rnacentral:lncRNA from 1 species
GAAAAAGAUGACCACUAUGGCCCACAAUGGAGAAUUGCUUGUGAAAAUUGAGAAGCCAAAGGGGCACGGUACAAAAAUUAGACCCGUGCCCGGAUACUCAGCAAACAUAUGACUUGCCCUGGAAGCACGGGAAGGAAAGAUGGGCAAAUAAAAACAGUUGCAAGGACUUCGGGUGUUGGAUACCUGCCAGGCUUAUUCCACACUGGGGAUUACAUCAGUGUAUUCGAGUCAAGCCUCUAAUACCUGAGCUCCAUCCUCAGCAUAUCCACAGAAUUGUAACAGUGGUAAAUCGUCAUUCUCUCAGUGUUGGAUAUAGAACUCACGGCUGCCACAUGCUAGGCAAGCACUCUACCAUUGAGCCGCAAGACCACACCCAGCCUAGCAACGUUCAUCUCCCAUGCCUAGCUGCUCCUCUGUCCACCAUCAGCUCCACUCUGGGACCAGACUACCAUGGCAGUCUUUCUGUGUGCACAGGGCAGGUCCCUGUGCCAGAGGGACACACAGACAAUGAUCUACCCAUUACUUCUUACAACUGGGGCUAGGCUCAUCUCAUGCUCCUUCUUGGGUUUCUAGGAUCUCACCGACUCCAAGCAGUAGUAGCCAACACUGAGCAGUUAUACAACUCAGUCCUUUCACUCUGCGGCUUUCUUUGCUGAAUCAAGCAAAAGAGAAUGCAUUUCUGUUCCAGGAAAUGGAUGGCGCCACAGAAAAGGGCCAGAGUAAAAUGGAUCUUUAUCAUUAGAGCUGCUCAAAGAUGGGGUGCUUGAGUGUUGUAUCUGCAAGUACACUAUCUGCAGAUUCAAUAAAUUCCCCAUGGAGAAUUUCCAGGGGAAAACCGUUUCUGUGCUGAACACCUACAUAUAUUCUUCCUUGUCAUUAUGCCCUAAACAAUGCAGUCUACUAUUUAGACAUAUUUACUUUUAAUUAGAAAUUACCUUUGAG